rnacentral:rRNA from 1 species
UACGUAGGGUGCAAGCGUUGUCCGGAAUUAUUGGGCGUAAAGAGCUCGUAGGCGGUCUGUCGCGUCUGCUGUGAAAACUCGGGGCUUAACCCCGGGCCUGCAGUGGGUACGGGCAGACUAGAGUGCGGUAGGGGAGACUGGAAUUCCUGGUGUAGCGGUGAAAUGCGCAGAUAUCAGGAAGAACACCCGUGGCGAAGGCGGGUCUCUGGGCCGAUACUGACGCUGAGGAGCGAAAGCGUGGGGGGCGAACAGG